rnacentral:lncRNA from 1 species
GACACAUAAUAUGCACCCUUUUCUGAUAGUCUACACACAAAAAAAAAAGGGGGCACCCAAGAGUUGGGCACUCCUUGUCUUGUCAUGUUUGGAUAAUCCUUGACUAGAUAUUUGACCUAGAUAAGGACUCUAUCAUAUCUCUCUAUUUAAAAUAAAUUUCUUUAUAAAAUUUUCAUGAAAACUAGAAAAAAGAGAGACCCUUGGGGUAUGCAAAAAUCAAGGAGAAAGA